AAGGUUUUAAGUUAAAUAAACUAUUAAUCUUCAAAAUUAAAAAUAUAAUAAAUUUAAACCUUA
rnacentral:tRNA from 1 species